rnacentral:misc_RNA from 1 species
CUCGCAAGUAAGCAGUUAAAAGAUCGUUUUGCAUUGUUCUUGGUUUAUUUUUCCUGGCAUAUUGGACUCUUGCAUUUGUAAACUCAACUUUUGUUCCCCGGCUGCCCUUUCCAUAUUAAAAAUUUAAAAUGAAAAAAAUAGAAGGUAAGAAGAAAACGAAAAGAAAAAAAAAAAAAAAGAGGUGUGCAGGGACACUUUAAAUUAGAGUGCUUCAGUUUUGUUCUGUAAGCAUCUCAAAUAA